rnacentral:lncRNA from 1 species
UUUAUUGAUAAAAUUAUCUUGCCACUGUUUGAAGUUGAAUUCCUUCCCAUUCAUUCAUUCAUUUGUGCAUUCCUAAUAUUUGCAGCUCAAAGGAUGGACUCAGUUUUUCCCCUCAUUUUACACUGUGUUGAAUCCAAUGUGCAAUGGACUGAAUCCAGCAGGUGAAAAAUGCAAGUAGUGUUAUCUUUCCUAGAAACUGAAUACCUGUGAUUCUGUGCCACUGUUUUUAAGGACGGCUGGGGAAAUCUGUUCCAAACAUCACUAACAAAACAAGUUCUUUGUUCUUGGUCAGACUGGGAGAGGGACAACUUGUUUUGCAAGACAGACGUACAGUCCUCUGAAAGCCACUGUCUGUAUCCCGCUUCCCAUGAUUAUGUAUAUGUAUGUUCUAACAAGAGCUGCCUUUUGAAAUCAGCUCCUCCUUACACCUAAUUGAGGAAUAAAGCCAUAAUGCCAAGUUUAUGGUAUCUUAGUGUGUUGCUAUGGAAGUGAUAUUAGCAACAUUAGACAUCCAGCACUGUGGGCUGAGUAGCAGUAGAAUGGGAUAGAAACUGAAAGCCUGGGUGCGGUAGAAGAAGCUUUCAUUUCAACACAAAUAUCUUUGAUUCUUUGGAAAACCAUCAGAGAAAGAGGACAGUAUAUCAGAGGAAAGUCGCCUCGCGGGAGGAGAAGGUGAGGUGCUGUCAUGCGCCGUCACACGUGGAGAUGAAGGUCAAAGCACCCUUCAGCUUGGUUGACAACGGGAGCUGCCGGUGACCCGCUCUCCCGACUGCUCAGCAUUACAAAUAGCCGGGUGGGACAGUCCCUUGAAGCUCCUGCUGGACCCCUUUGCAGCAGGGUCCCAGCUACUCUGUGUUGUCGCCCAUGCUCCAUGAAGAUGUGGCAUGCAUGAAUCACAGCAGCAGUUCAGCACGUGUGGAGGCUCUGCCACAGGUGGGACGUCUUACCUUGGAGACCAGCAGGGGACGUGGGACACCUGGGACACGUUUCCUGAGAGACACCCAGCAGCUCGAGGGACCACACAAGUUCAUGCUCCGUAACUGGGAAAAAAGAAGAAAGAGAAGUACGCAGAGACGUUGGUAA